rnacentral:lncRNA from 1 species
CCAUUGGUGGUGAUGUAGAGGGAUAGAGGGGUCAUUGGAGGGGGGUUUGGGGUCAUUGGUUUGGUGUUUGGGGUCACUGGAGGGGAUGUGGGGGGGGUACUGGGGUCAUUGGAGGGGGGUUUGGGGUCACUGGAUGGGGAUUUGGGGUCAUUGGAGGGGGGUUCAUCCCACUGGGUGUGGGAGGCACCCAUGGGUGCUGCAGACCCGGCAGCCAGGAGGUCCAGCUGGGUGCUCUGCGUCCCCCAUGGCCCCAUCCCAAUGUUCCCCCUCCCUAUGUCCCCCUCCCUAUGUCCCCCAUCCCUGUGUCCCCAUGUCCCCAUCCCAAAACAUCCCCAUCCCCAUGUCCCCCAUCCCCACAUCCCCAUCCCAAUGUCCCCUAAUCCCAUGUCCUCCAUCCCCACGUCCCCCAUCCCUGUGUCCCCAUGUCCCUUAACCCCAUGUCCCCAUCCCCACAUCCCCAUCCCAAUGUCCCCUAAUCCCACGUCCCCAUCCCCAUGUCCCCAUCCCAGUGUCCCCUAAUCCCACGUCCCUAUCCCCAUGUCCCCAUCCCAGUGUCCCCCCUUCCCAUCCCCACGUCCCCAUCCCAAUGUCCCCACGUCCCCACAUCCCCCCCCACCUCUCCCCCACCCCCUCGCCCCCAUCCCCGCUCACCCGACAGCGGCUCCUUGGCCUUGCUGCGCGCCUCCUGCCUCCGUCCCCCGCCGUCCCCGUCCCCGUCGGGCGCCCCGUCGGGUUCGGGUGACCCCGGCGAGCGCUCGGCCAGGGACCCCCGACGUCCCUUUGUCCCCAAGGCCAGCCUCAGCAGCGAGCUGCGUUUGGGGACCGGCCGCUCGCUCAGGGUCUCCACGCUGGCUUUGCGCCUCCCCGGCAGCCUCCGCAGGAGCCCGAAAUCCUCCGAACGCCGCCGCAGCCCCCGGGCGCGACCCCCGUCCCCGUCGCCGUCCCCGUCCCCGCUUUUGGGACCGGGGCGGCGAGCGCGGCCGAAGGGUGCCAAGCCCACCAGGCGCUCCAGGGUGGCCCGGCGCCGGUAGCGGCUCUCGGGGCUGGCGGCGAAGGGGUCGCCAUCCUCCUCCUCCUCCUUGGGGGCUUUCUUCAGCAGAGGCAUGGCCUGGGGGCGGCACGGCAGCGGGGUGGCACCGGAGCACCCCGAGGGAGCACCCCCAUGGGUGCAACCUGGAGACCCCUCUGUGCAACCCCUCCGUGCAACCCCGUCGUGCACACUGCUCUGUGCACAACGCUCUGUGCAACCCCUCCAUGCAACUUUGCCAUGCACAACACUUUGUGCAACCCCUCCGUGCAACCUCUCUGUGCAAUCCUGCCAUGCAUUCCCCUCUGUGCAACCCCUCUGUGCAACCCCGUCGUGCACACUGCUCUGUGCAGCCCCUCUGCGAGUGUGCAACUGCUCCGUGCAAGCCCACGAGUGCCACCCCCACGAGCGUGCAACUGCUCCGUGCAUCCCCUCCACGCAAACCCAGCGUGGGAGCGUGCACCCGCUCCGCGCACCCCCCCAUCCCCCGUGCAAACCCACUCGUGCAACUCCCGUGAGUGUGCAACUGCUUCGUGCAACCCCUC